AAUAUUGGACAAUGGGCGAAAGCCUGAUCCAGCCAUGCCGCGUGUGUGAAGAGAGUCUUCGGAUUGUAAUGCACUUUAAGUGGGGAGGAAGGGCAGUAAGUUAAUACCUUGCUGUGUGGAUGUUACCGACAUAAUAAGCACCGGCCAACUUCGGGCCAGCAGCCGCGGUAAUACGAAGGGUGCAAGCGUUAAUCGGAAUUACUGGGCGUAAAGCGAGCGUACGUGGUUCGUUAAGUUGGAUGUGAAAGCCACGGGCUCGACCUGGAACCUGCAACCAAAACUGGCGCGCUAGAGUACGGUAGAGGGUGGUGGAAUUUCCUGUGUAGCGGUGAAAUGCGUAGAUAUAGAAAGUAAACCCAGUGGCGAAGGCGACCACCUGGACUGAUACUGACACUGAGGUGCGAAAGCGUGAGGAGCAAACAGG
rnacentral:rRNA from 1 species